rnacentral:rRNA from 1 species
GAUGAACGCUAGCGGCAGGCUUAAUACAUGCAAGUCGUGGGGCAGCAGGACUGUAGCAAUACAGUUGCUGGCGACCGGCAAACGGGUGCGGAACACGUACGCAACCUUCCUUCAAGUGGGGGAUAGCCCAGGGAAACUUGGAUUAAUACCCCGUAAUAUUAUGAGGUGGCAUCAUCUUAUAAUUAUAGCUACGGCGCUUGGAGAUGGGCGUGCGGCUGAUUAGGUAGUUGGCGGGGUAACGGCCCACCAAGCCUGCGAUCAGUAACUGGU